UACGUAGGGUGCAAGCGUUAAUCGGAAUUACUGGGCGUAAAGCGUGCGCAGGCGGUGAUGUAAGACAGAUGUGAAAUCCCCGGGCUUAACCUGGGAACUGCAUUUGUGACUGCACGGCUAGAGUGUGUCAGAGGGGGUAGAAUUCCACGUGUAGCAGUGAAAUGCGUAGAUAUGUGGAGGAAUACCGAUGGCGAAGGCAGCCCCCUGGGAUAACACUGACGCUCAUGGCACGAAAGCGUGGGGAGCAAACAGG
rnacentral:rRNA from 1 species